GUGCACGCUGGCGGUAGGCCUCACCCCUGCAAGUCGCACGGCAGCACAGUAAGAGCUUGCUCUUACGGGUGGCGAGUGGCGGACGGGUGAGGAAUACAUCGGAAUCUACUUUUUCGUGGGGGAUAACGUAGGGAAACUUACGCUAAUACCGCAUACGACCUACGGGUGAAAGCAGGGGAUCUUCGGACCUUGCGCGAUUGAAUGAGCCGAUGUCGGAUUAGCUAGUUGGCGGGGUAAAGGCCCACCAAGGCAACGAUCCGUAGCUGGUCUGAGAGGAUGAUCAGCCACACUGGAACUGAGACACGGUCCAGACUCCUACGGGAGGCAGCAGUGGGGAAUAUUGGACAAUGGGCGCAAGCCUGAUCCAGCCAUACCGCGUGGGUGAAGAAGGCCUUCGGGUUGUAAAGCCCUUUUGUUGGGAAAGAAAAGCAGCAGGUUAAUACCCCGCUGUUCUGACGGUACCCAAAGAAUAAGCACCGGCUAACUUCGUG
rnacentral:rRNA from 1 species